UACAGAGGUCUCAAGCGUUGUUCGGAUUCAUUGGGCGUAAAGGGUGCGUAGGCGGCGCGGUAAGUCGGGUGUGAAAUCUCGGAGCUUAACUCCGAAACUGCAUUCGAUACUGCCGUGCUUGAGGACUGGAGAGGAGACUGGAAUUUACGGUGUAGCGGUGAAAUGCGUAGAGAUCGUAAGGAAGACCAGUGGCGAAGGCGGGUCUCUGGACAGUUCCUGACACUGAGGCACGAAGGCCAGGGGAGCAAACAGG
rnacentral:rRNA from 1 species